UAUAUAUUCCAGGAUCUAUUUUUUAACUUGAAUCUAUCUCAAACUUGAUCAAAUAUUUUAGGCUAAAUACGUAGAAUCGAUACCUCACGAAAUGAGAUCCCUUAUCAUACAUGUUAAUUUCAAAGUAAUGCAACCAAAAUCUUAAAUUGAUUUGGGAUAUAAUUUCAUGUGAUUUUCUUAGAAAAUAUUCACAUUUUGGGUGUUUCCCAAUCGGUACCCUCAUUUUUUUCCCAAAUACUAUCUAUAAUUUAAAAAUACCUAAAAUACCUCAAAAAUUUUCUCAUCAAAAUUUUCAUCUUUUUUUACUAGUUUUUUUACUAUUUUAAUGUUUUCAUUUGGAACGCUAUAGUAGUUUUAUUAAGAUAUUGAAAAACUCUAAGCUAUAUCUAUUUGGUUAUCAUUACUCAUAAGUCAUUAUAAGAUUAGGAGUUUAUUUUUAUCAUUUAUAGUGAUUUGUUGUGAUGAUCAAAAUGUUAUAACAUGCUAAAAAUACUAUAAUAGGCCAAAAUACUAUAACAAGCGAAAAAACAUUUGAGAGGUAAUUUGAAAUUUCUUUUGAAUUAAGGGUAUUGUUUGAGAAAAAUCAAAAUAGGGCUAUUGUUUGAGAAAUAUAUAAAAUGUGGGUGUAUUUUAGGAAAAUCACCUUAUAAUUUUCAUGCGCAAAUUCGUUAUAAGAGAAAACCUAUAAGGAUUCAAAUCGCCCGCCCGCUCUCCCUCCCUCAUGGCUUCAGUUUCAAUCUCCUCCCCGUAUCUCCUAUCCUUCUCCCCGCUCGUCAACAGGGCUUCCUCGGCAGAUGCGGUGGCAGCCAGAGUCGGUCUCCAACACCUCCUCCUCCAGCGGCAACGGUCCCCAUCUCCAUCGCUGGUUAAUACAUCUUCCUCUUCUUGCCCUUUCUGUCUACCUUCUCUGAUCUGCCCAUUAGGUACUUCUCCGUCUUUUCUUUGGUAGUUUCCUUGGUCGAGGGUACCACCUGCUGUGCGAUACUUUUGGAGGCAGCCUCUAUUCUGUAUUUGGCUUCCCACAAUUCUCUAUUACUUCACUUCUCGCUCCUGGUUUAUAGAAUGAUGGAAUCUCAUUGGUGUAUGUAUAUGAACUACAAUCUUUGAAAUUGAUGAAAGUAUAAGUAUUCUAUUAAGAACUAUAUUGGGAAAGUAAGUGUAGCAUUUUCACUCAAAUCUAGCAUAUGCUUCCUUCUUAGAUCAUAACUGUAACUUUCUUGUGUAGGGUUCAGCUGGAAGUCCCAUAUUGCUUGGUUUCCUUUUGUACCAUCAUAACAUAUGCAUAAAUCUCCUACAGUUUAUUGUCAUUAAUUUGCCUUUUGUCCAUAGCAUCAUAGUAUCAUGGGGUUAUAUAGUACAUAAUACAUAAUGUAUUGUUUGUGUAACACUUUUGAUUAGUUCUACAUCAAAACAAAGUUAAUAGGUUAGUUAACCCAUCAAACCCGGAUCGUGAUAUUUGAUAUCAGAGCCGACUACCAAGAUAAAGUUAGAGGAUUUGUCAUGGCAUUGAGCCACCAUUGAGCUGUCUCACAUGCGUCAUGCUUGAGUGGGGGAGAUUGAAAUACCAUUGAUAGUUUCACAUCGAAAGUAAGUAAGACUAAGAUUGAUUUAUAUGGGUCUGAUGAGUAUAUUACUAUUAAUUUUAAUUUAAAUAUUUUAAACAAUGAUUUGGACUAAAUAAAAUUGAUAGAUCAAUUACAAUAAAGACGUCGGUGUCCUUAUUGAUUCUUAUUCUUUUCAAAAUACACAGCCAUAUUAGCUAGACACUUAGUCAUGUUUUGGGUUCUGAGUGGUUGCAUAUCAAACAGACUCAAUGGAGCUUGAACAUUACUUUUAAAAAGCAAUAGCUUUUAAUUGUAUUGGGUUGCCCAGACUCAAUUCCUAAUUGCCUGUACUUUUCUUUCAAUGAACAUUACUGAAAAGGUUUGCCCAGGUGAGCACACUCUUACGGAAAUAGUGUGAAAGUGAGAAGAUAUUCUUCUUUUCUGUUGUAUGCAAGAUUGACUUUCCAUAUUCUUAUCCUUAUGGUAGUAUGUGCAAAGGAUUUAAACAUCGAUCAAUAUGUUCUGGUCUGUCCAAAUAUAUAUCUUCUUUUUAUAUAACUGUAUCAGCUGUACUUCAAUGAACCAUCCGUGAGGAGACUUGCUUCUGUAACACAGUAUUAUUUCUCUUUAUAUCAGAUGCCUUUCCCUACAAUUUUCUUGGUUGGAUAUGGGAAGCUGUCUGCGUUUUCAGUAGUUCCUAUAUAGUAUUUUAUAUUAUUUGCCUUUUGUCAUCUAACAUGCUGUCAUGCCACUAUAUCUUUACAUUAUGAGGUCGAAGCUCCAUGGAGAUGGCCUGUUGAUGGUGACAGGAAGGUGCUCUCAUCUGCAAGCCAGUACUACAGUUUCCAGGGGACAAAACAUACCUCUUAAAAGGCAGUAGAAGCGUAACUGUGAAUUCUGAGCUACAUUUGUUGAUAUUGUCUCCAUACUAGUAAGAAAUAGAGAGAAGACACCACGCUCUUGACACUGUGGCCUCUCGCCCAUCAGUAUGCCUUUGUUUUGUGGAGAAUUAUCAUUCACAAAGAAAGUUUCAGCCAAUUCCUGAAUGCAUGCCGUUGAUUCAAUGGGCACUCCAAUGUAUCAUCUCAGUGCUAGCGUGUCGCGAGGAGACGGUGAAACCAAGUCACAUUGGCCGACCUUUUUAUCUGACGCCUCUCCUCUGCUCCAUUAUUCCCCCCCGACAACAGGUGUCUCUAUUUGCGCCGCAUGAUCCAAGCAACUCAAUCAUGCAGUGUACGGAGGCAUCCAAAAGAUCAAAGUAAAGCAACAAAGAUCUUGCGUUUUCUCGGAUGAUUGCCUUUAAAUCAAACCGGAGGUUGAUUCUCUUCUGCCGCUGCUACUUGAUCUGUCCUUUGUCUCGCAUGCGAUGCUCCUCCUUCGCAGCGCUUCGUUGCCUCUGCCGAACUCGUCGUGGGUGGCGGCCGCAGCCCGUGAGUUACCUGUGGGGGUGGGGGAGCUGGUGGUUCCGCCGCUCCCGAGGGCCCGCUCGCUGGCCCACCUCAUCACACCUUGCCUCUCCUCCUGCACCAGCGCCUCCUUCGGCGCCUCGCCCUCCGCUUCGUCUCCGUCCGCGAGGAGGCGGCUGGUGCUGCGAGCGAUGUCCGGGGCAGACCAUUCCCCCAGUUUCCGGGCGCCGCCCCUCGCCUCCCGCGGCUUGCCUUCCCCGCUGGAUAUAAAGGAGGUCAUCGAGGCACCUCAUUCGAGUUCCCCUGCUUCUUCUACCACCUCGGAGCUGGACGAAAGCGGCGUGGUUAGCGAUGCUUGUACCGGUGGUGGUAGGACCUGCAGUGGUGGAAGAGGUAGACGAGGAAGUGGAGGAGGAGGUGGUGGUGCUGAAAAUGAUGGAAGCGGCGGACUCAACCCCUCGGAUUCUAACCAUGGGAACGAUGCAACGGACGCGUACUACCUACAGAUGAUCGAAGCCGACCCCGGGAAUUCUCUUAUCCUCGGGAAUUAUACCAAGUUCUUGAAAGAGGUUCGAGGAGACGUGGCCAAAGCGCAGGAGUACUGCGAGCGGGCGAUCCUGGCGAACCCGAGCGACGCCGGCGUGCUCGCACUCUACGCCGAUCUGGUGUGGGAGACUAGCCAUGACGCUCCUCGAGCUGAGACCUACUUCCGCCGAGCCGUCCAAGCUGCUCCCGACGACUGCUACAUCUUGGCUUCUUAUGCCAGAGUCCUGUGGGACGCCGAGGAGGAAAUAGAGACGGAGGGAGUCACAGAGAACAGCAACCAGUCUCCUACACUGCCACCAAUCGCAGCUGCUUCAUAGAGACACCACAGUUUUCCCCUCUCUCCGUCAUGUGGUCUGUCUCUCUCAUGAAGCAACAGCUGACUGUAAAUUUUGUGUGAGUGGUGCGAGAGAGGAUGACAAACCAAAGUGGUGGCGGAGCACGAGGUGCUGUGAGGGGUGAGCCUCGCCGUCCGAGACCUUUGGAGCAACGACCCCUAUGUCAUCCUCGAGAUGGGCGAACAAGUUUCUUGAUUCCGAUCACUCUUACUCUGAAUGCACGAUGAAGGUUAGGAAGGGAUGUCAUGAGACAUCAAUUAUACCCAUAUCUAUCUCGUGAAAGUGGGAUAGUUAUGAGACAAUCGACGAACUCACCCAAAAAGAGAGAUGGUAAAGAUAAGGAGUGAUGAAGAGAGAACGAGACAUAAAUUGACAAAUAGAGGCAUUCAUGAUCUUACAAAAAAAAGAGAUAUAACGAAAAUCCUAAAAAGAGAAUUUUUUUGAA